CAUGACCCUGCCUGCCUAACUUCCUCUUGCCACCCAUGCUGCUGACUGCAGUAGUGGGUCAGUAAGCUUUCCCUGAGUCGUCCUUGGUGGGGCUGGGCCAGACCUAAGACUGGAACCAGGGAGACAUACAAGGCACACUCCCUGCCCUGGCUGAGUUCACCCAGGCCUGAGAAAGAUAAAAGGAGAAAAGAAGCGGAAGCAGAGACAUCUGGGAGAGUCCUGAGUGAAGGUGGCCAUGUGAGAAGACAGGGGAGGGAGAGCAAGAGUGGAGCCGCCAAUCAAGACAGGCUGCCUGGGCCAAGACACUGGCCAAGAAGCCAUAAGGCCCAGGAUUCUGCACUGAAAUCUCCCCUCAAGCUCUCUGUGGCGUCAAGUAGAAGACUGAACACCAACCAAAGUGAGGCCAGGACCUGUCUGCCAGAAAGCAUGCUCCAGGUUCAAAUCAGAUCACAGACUGCACAGACCUGGAGACUCCAACUCUACAGAAAGAGUACCAACCCGAGAACCCCCACACUUGGCACAGAUGGCUUAUGACCCUGUC
rnacentral:lncRNA from 1 species